rnacentral:rRNA from 1 species
GAUGAACGCUAGCUACAGGCUUAACACAUGCAAGUCGAGGGACCGGCGCACGGGUGAGUAACGCGUAUCCAACCUUCCCAUUACUGUGGGAUAACCUGCCGAACGGCAGACUAAUACCGCAUGGUACUGGAUGGGGAUUCGUCUGAUUAGCUUGUUGGGGGGGUAACGGCCCACCAAGGCUACGAUCAGUAGGGGUUCUGAGAGGAAGGGCCCCCACAUUGGAACUGAGACACGGUCAAAACGCCUACGGGAGGCAGCAGUGAGGAAUAUUGGUCAAUGGGAGAGAGCCUGAACCAGCCAAGUAGGGUGAAGGAUGACGGCCUAUGGGUUGUAAACUGCUUUUGUAUGGGGAUAGGUACCAGACGAAUAAGGACCGGCUAAUUCCGUGCCAGCAGCCGCGGUAAUUC